AGGUUUAUUGAAAAACACGCAAAAUUUUAGAAAAAAUAAAUUCAACAAAUCCAUGGUAGUAAAAAACUUGUGGGCGCAAUCGGCUGUAAAUUUAACUAACAUAACCGGAUAUGCCGGAAAUAUUAAAAAAUGGAAGGAAGUAAUUGUCUUGGUAAAACUAAGAGAAGUUUAGACUUUGUAAAUAAAGUAAAGAAAGUAAACGAUCAUUACAUAGCAUAAACGGCGGAUCUUUAAAAAACAUUAAUAAUAUAAUACGAUUUGGGGGAUGAACUGUGGCGACAUUUGGAGCCAUGAGUGUGGGAUGAUGCCAAGUGCCCCAUAAAUUGGCGUGGAAGGUGCAACAGGAAUAACUUUAAGAUAUUCCACAUACGAAGGAAAUGUUGAUGCUACACCAGAAACAUCUAACGCAUUAGGAAAGCGCAAUAACACACGUAACAGAUAUAAAACCAAAAUUGGAGUAUGAAAUAACAGAGAACUGCUAUAGACGACGUGUACAUCUACAAGCCAUGGACGUCUACAGACGUCAUUUACGCCAGCGGAUUAACAAGAUUAACAAGAUAAACGAAAGUAAAAAUAUUUUAAAAAUUUGCAAAAGCGGUUGGUAGCAAGAAUAAAGC